AAGGAAUAUUGCUCAAUGGAAGAAAUCCUGAAGCAGCAACGCCGCGUGGAGGAUGAAGGGUCUAUGACUUGUAAACUCCUGUAAAGAAGGAAAAAAUUCCCAUUAGAUGGGAGAUGAUGGUACUUCUGGAGUAAGCCCCGGCUAACUACGUGCCAGCAGCCGCGGUAAUACGUAGGGGGCAAGCGUUGUCCGGAUUUACUGGGUGUAAAGGGUGCUCAGGCGGAUUUGUAAGUCAGAGGUGAAAUCUUACAGCUUAACUGUGAAACUGCCUUUGAUACUGCAAGCCUAGAGUAUGGAAGAGAGUGAUGGAAUAUCUGGUGUAGCAGUGAAAUGCGUAGAUAUCAGAUAGAACACCAAUGACGAAGGCAGUCACUUGGUCCAUUACUGACGCUAAAGCACGAAAGCGUGGGUAGCAAACA
rnacentral:rRNA from 1 species